AUUGAACGCUGGCGGCAGGCCUAACACAUGCAAGUCGAACGAGUGGCGGACGGGAGAGUAAUGUCUGGGAAACUGCCUGAUGGAGGGGGAUAACUACGGGAAAAGGUAGAUAAUAACGCAUAACAUCGGAUGUGACCAGAUGGGAUGUGCUAGUAGGGGGGGUAACGGCUCACCUAGGCGAAGAUACCUAGCUGGUCUGAGAGGAUGACCAGCCACACUGGAACUGAGACACGGUCCAGACUCCUACGGGCGGCAGCAGUGGGGAAUAUGGCACAUUGGGCGCAAGCCUGAUGCAGCCAUGCCGCGUGUAUGAAGAAGGCCUUCGGGUUGUAAAGUACUUUCAUCGGGGAGGCGUUACCCGCAGAAGAAGCACCGGCUAACUCCGUGCUAGCAGCCGCGGUAAUUC
rnacentral:rRNA from 1 species